GACGAACGCUGGCGGCGUGCCUAAUACAUGCAAGUUGAGCGCUGAAGGUUGGUACUUGUACCAACUGGAUGAGCAGCGAACGGGUGAGUAACGCGUGGGGAAUCUGCCUUUGAGCGGGGGACAACAUUUGGAAACGAAUGCUAAUACCGCAUAAAAACUUUAAACACAAGUUUUAAGUUUGAAAGAUGCAAUUGCAUCACUCAAAGAUGAUCCCGCGUUGUAUUAGCUAGUUGGUGAGGUAAAGGCUCACCAAGGCGAUGAUACAUAGCCGACCUGAGAGGGUGAUCGGCCACAGUGGGACUGAGGCACGGCCCAAACUCCUACGGGAGGCAGCAGUAGGGAAUCUUCGGCAAUGGACGAAAGUCUGACCGAGCAACGCCGCGUGAGUGAAGAAGGUUUUCGGAUCGUAAAACUCUGUUGGUAGAGAAGAACGUUGGUGAGAGUGGAAAGCUCAUCAAGUGACGGUAACUACCCAGAAAGGGACGGCUAACUACGUG
rnacentral:rRNA from 1 species